rnacentral:rRNA from 1 species
UACGUAGGGUGCAAGCGUUGUCCGGAAUUAUUGGGCGUAAAGAGCUCGUAGGCGGUUUGUCGCGUCGGCUGUGAAAGCCCGGAGCUCAACUCCGGGUCUGCAGUCGAUACGGGGCAGACUUGAGUGUUGCAGGGGAGACUGGAAUUCCUGGUGUAGCGGUGAAAUGCGCAGAUAUCAGGAGGAACACCGGUGGCGAAGGCGGGUCUCUGGGCAACAACUGACGCUGGAGGAGCGAAAGCGUGGGGAGCGAACAGG